CAACAAUCGGGACCCAAAACUGAAUUUACACCUGUGCCGUCCCGACUGCGUCAUGUUACGUGGAUUUAUUAUUUUGACAACCCGCAGAGGCUUUGUGAAUUUUAGAGAGCCUGACACUUUCUUCAGAGGAGAAACUUCAGCUGCAGCUUGUCUCACUUUCGCUCAUCAAGGAAUUAUUACAGCAACUCUAAGACACUUUGUGCUCCGUAAAGCCAGCAAACAUGACGGGAUGGAAGCGACUGAGUAUGCUGUGGUGUGGCCGUGAGUCAACGUGUAAUUUUAGUCCAACAAUAAAAUAAUGCAACUGUUGUCCUGUUGUGAA
ensembl:lncRNA